rnacentral:lncRNA from 1 species
UGCCGAAAUGAAAGAACGAGUUCAAUUCACAAGUAGACAUUCAAAUUGAUGAAUGUGGUGUGUUUACUUGGAAGGGAUCAUUUUAACAUUUCGUCUUAUAAAGAUUUCAGGACAAGAAACAAUAUAAAGCAUGGGGAACAAUACUAGGCUAAAGAGAUAACUCUAUUGUACAUUAAAAAAGGAAGAGGCAAUACGGUUCUGGUUGCAAGUAUGAAUUGAAGACGAUGGUAUUGGGUGCAAGUAUGAUGACAUCGGUUCGGGACGCUAUUGUAUAUCAAUUUUAUCAUCUUUAGAGAUAUAUGUAUUUAUCUUACUUUAAAACUCUUGUAAUCUUGUGUUACUUUGAAACCUUUGUAAUUUGUAUUCUUGGGUUCUAUUAUAUUGAUAAUUUGUUGAUGAUAUAA